CAUCACAUCUACUGAGCAUCCUCAGUGUGCAGAAACACUUCCUACACUGUGGCAACUAUACUGUGGAAGGGACAGACAAGUUAUCCUGUGGCCCUAAGGGUGGAAGACAGAAUUUGCUUUUGAAAAAAGCUCUUUAUUCAACGGGAGGGAGUCGACCUUCGACCUUCAGCGGCUCAGGAACUGGGAUGCAGUGCCUGGCUCGUAGUGUCCUGCAGCAGAUGUGGGGACUUUUCCUUCUUUAUGUUUUUCUGACAAUGGAAGGCAUUCCAGGACAAAGUGUUCAGCAGACUGCUGAGUUGACGGCUAUGGAAGGAGCCUCUGUCCAGAUCAACUGCUCGUACCAGGCAUCGGGGUUUAACGGGCUGUCCUGGUACCAACAACAUGAGGGCAGUUCACCCAUAUUAUCUCUUACAAGUUCUGGAUGGUUUGGAGAGCAGAGGGCAUCAUUUUUCCUCAUUCCUGAGUCGUUCUGAGACAUACAGUUACCUCCUUGUGAAGGAUCUUCAGAUGAAAGACUCUGCCUCUUACCUCUGUGCUGUGAGAGACACAGUGAUUACGAAGCCUCUUCAGCUGUAGCAAAAUUCAAAAGGCAGCCAUUGGAGUAAGAAGUUGUAUUUCCUGAGUGUAUGCCUGCUAUGAGUUAAGACAGGGGACUUUGGAACCAGA